GUGCAGAUAACUUCAAAUUAGUCCAAGCUUCUUAGCCAAUGGCUUAGUCACAUCAUUGACCCAAAUGUUUUGAGAUCGCUGGAUGUAAAAGGGAUUGGAUGGAGAUAAAAGAGCUCUCCCUGGAAACUCUGUUUUGGAUGGUUUCUCGGAAACCUGUUGCAUCAGCUGUCGCUUGAAACCAAAUAACACGUUCACCUGGCAGGUAAGCAAGAAAAGUGACUUUGUCUCUAGCCUUUUGUACAGCUUAUAGCUAGGGGUGUGUGAAUAUGCCAAUUUUUGCCUGUCGAUUUCUCAUUUUCCGGCCUUAAAUUCGCAAAUGUCCUCAUAAAAAAAUCACCAGCAUUUUAGUGCUCAUUUCUCCUCGUAUAUGCAACUUAGUUUGCAAAUUUGCUCAGUGCACAUCUUUCUGCAUAGCUGAUUUCCCCAAUAUAAUGUAUUUUUUUUUUGGGGGGGUGUAUUUAUAUGGGCACUUUGUGCAUUUAUCUACACAUUGAUUCGCUGGAGAAUGGCAUUGCAAAAUUCAGAGAAGUGUGAACGUCGAAGGACAGCUUGUGUUUCUGAUCUCAUACCGUUUCAGAAAAGGUGGCUGCAGUAAAUUCAUUUUUAGAUGCAAACUGAAUCCCUAUUUAUAGCAGGGGUGGUGAGCCACAAGCUGUUACGGGACUGUGUGUGGUCCUUGGCCCAAUUUCACAUGGGUGAGGGAGCUCGGAGGAAGAGAAGUGGGGGAAUGCAAGGAUGGGAAGAAACCCAAAAUGGAUGGGGCAAAGGAGCAGGGAAGUUAUCUGCAAAUGCCCAGAUAAGACCUCUAAGAAGAGCAACGAGUCUGCAUCCCAGCUAGACAGGGAGAGAGAAAGAAUGAGAGAGGAGGAUGUCAAAAACAAAAACAAAAGGGACGGUCUGUUCUGGUCCACCUUUCCUCUUCUUGUCACCACUGGUAUGUACGGUAGCUUGCAACAGAUUAUCUCCCGAGGGAAUGUGGCCUCUUACUGCUGAUUUAUAGUUAAAGAUGCAACUUCAACGCAAGGUGGGGUAACCUCAGGUCUAGGGGCUGAAUGUGGCCCUCCAAACCUCUCUGUCAGGCCCUUGGAGCUUUCUCCAGGCCACACCCCCCCUGCUCCACACCCUCUUUGAGUGCUUUUGCCCAGUUGGAAAUGGUCCUCGAACUUCAGUAAUGACUCUUGCUUGCUGAAUGUUAGACAGAGAGGCGUGAGUGUGCCUAGAAACUAGCUCAUUAUACAAGACAAAAUUUGCAGUUGUUGCUCUGCCCACAUUUCCCUCUGGUCCUGCCCACCACUGAUAUGUGGCCCUCUGGAGGUUCCCCAGAAAGGAAUGCGGCCCCCUGGCUAGAAAAAGACACAUUCCCUAAUCGUGCUUUAGCGGGAGGCUGUUCCCGGAGGUGGUUUACCUAUCAAUCCUUCUUCACCGGCACCUCAGGGAAUUGCAGUUCUGGGAUGGGAAUAGGGGUCUCCUCAUAACUCUCUUAACAAACUGCAACUCCUAAGAUUCUUUGGGGGAAGAAGUGGCGCCGUAGUGCUUUAAGUGUAUACUGUGAAUUUGGCGUCCAUGAUAUGCUCCUUGCUGGAACGGCUCUGAGAACGUCUAGCCCAACUUGCCAGGAAAUUUGUAUAGAUGCUCCCCUUCCAAUGAGAGACUUUUUAAACGCCCCUCCCCCCGAGGGAACAGCAGCUGAUAUAACCUUUUCCCAGGCUUUCUAUUCUGGCAGAAGCAGGUACCUAGUAUGCCCCUGGGGGCUGAUACCAAUUGAGAGCCAGAUUUUUGUGCCAGUGUUGUGACUGUUUCUGCUACUAAUGUAGAACUCUUACUAUUAUAUAUAUGCAUUUAUGUAUGCCAUAGCUGCCAAGUUAUCCCUUUUUUAAAGGGAUUUUCCCUUAUGCUGAAUAGGCUUCCUCGCGAGAAAAGGGAAAACUUGGCAGCUAUGAUGUAUGCAGGUGCAGCUAUUAAAUCAUCCCGGAUGCUCAAUAAACAAGGCAGAUCUGGAUGAACUGAUGCUUGCCAUUGUUCAUGUUAUGUCAUAAUCCAGAUUUCUGUCAUGUCAGUUUCGGUGAAACUACACCUGGGUUUUGACGAUCCAUGAUCCCAGGGGCACCAUAGCUGCCAAGUUAUCCCUUUUUUAAAGGGAUUUUCCCUUAUGCUUAAUAGGCUUCCUCACGAGAAAAGGGAAAACUUGGCAGCUAUGAGGGGCAUACAUAAAUGCAGAAGAAGAUAAAAUCCAGGACACUCAAUGAAAAACACACACGAAAUACAAACAAGGACAUGUUUAAUGGAAUUGUGUUCCCCACAUCCCUUUGAUUGAACAAGAUAUCAGAGUUGGAACAAAAUUCUUAUUGUUUUGGAGCUGGGGGUGGGGUGGGGGUGGACACAGAGCCAAAGCUGUCAAGUUCUCCCUUUUUUAAAAGGGAAAUUCCAUUAUGCUGAAUAGGCUUCCUCGCGAGAAAAGGGAAAACUUGACAGCUAUGCACAGAGCUAUUGGAGAGAGAGUGUAAACAUAUUCUUAUAAGAGCAAUUUGCAUUAUAUAUAUAUAGCCCACUAAACAUAACAGGCUUCUAGAAGUGGGAAUACCUCAAGGAACCAUAAUGGGAAAAUACAUUCAUAUGUAUGCCAGUUCUUUGGGGUAUUCCCAGUUAUAAAUACUGUUAAAUUUAGUUGGAUUAUGAAGCAAGGUGCAAAUCCGACAUUUUACUAUUUAGCGUAAUAGUGUUACAUGCCACCCCAGUCUCUGAGUGGUGAGAGAAUCCAGGGGUUCAAGGCUCUUUUUCAGGGUUCAGUUUCCUUGGAAUGAAGGCCAUAGGAGACUGUGGUGCCUCUUGGAUAAAUCGUUUUAUUUACACAUAUAUACAACCUGAGCAUAAGAUGGAGGGGCUCGCAGCAUUAACACCCCGAACGAUCUUGCUUCUCUGUUAGUUACAGCUUUGGAUCCAGCAUAGAGCAAACAUGUCUAUGCGCCUACAGCUUCCAGCCUGCUUCUCCCUCUUUCAGACAUGCUACACCGGCUAUUAUUCUCCUUCCUAGCAGCUGGGGCCAGGGAGGACCACCCACCUGUCCUAUGGCACAGAGCAACUUCUUUGGUUAUGCUAAUUGUGGUGCUUAACUAGUCAACAAUCGUGGUGCUUUUCCUAGACAAAAGGACUGGUUUGGUAAGUUUGCUCUCC